ACGAAGACCCAUUUCAAAGAGUUAACAAAACUUCCCAUUACCAAUAUCAGUGUAGCCUAAGAUACGGGUCUAUAGAUUUUGGCUCAGUCUUUUCUCAAAAAUCAGUCUCAUUUUGGUUAAAAUUGGUUGAGUCCGCCCACUAAUACAUUGUGCUACCGAAAAAUAUGGAGAAUUUCACAUAUGGAGCGACAUAUAUGGAAGAAAAAAUAAAUUGGCGUUUGAAGAAGACGGGGAAAGGAAGCGAGCGCUAUUGGAAGAACAUUCACAUAGUAUUCUUAUCUAUCCUCUGUUUUGUUUAAUCAUAUUGAGAUCUAAUUCUUUGUUAUUGUAGUAUUUAAAAUAAUAGUAUUUUUGUGUUCUGAAAGUAUCUUAAAAAAAAAUUCUUUCAUAUCGUCUCUUCAUAUUUGUUUGUAGUCUAACUAGAUGGUAUAUGUGCUCAAUUAUCCAGCUUUUAGGGAACAGGGGUAUUUGGGAUAUAUGAAGCUCAUGUACUAGUAGCAGUUAGGGGUAGCUUCAAGCCAUAUAGAGCUUUUUCCUUUCUUUAAUGAAUUUGUUACCAUGCACGUCACCUCGGCGGUGAGGUAAUUUUUGUGGCAUGUGACCGCACGUUUAUGUGGAUGUUGGUUUAUAUAAGCAGUUGUUGCUCUUCAGAACUGAAUCAGUUGUUGUUGUUGUCGUUGUUGAAAUUGCUGUGAGGAUGAAAAUGAAAGACAAAAUGAAAUUUUAUGUUAGAGUGAAUUAUGAAAGUUAAUAGGAGUACAAGAAAAGGAAACGAAAAAUAUAAUAUGGACUAACAUGGUGCUUGUAGUUUUCAUGUUAUGGUGUUUGAUGAUAAUGGUUGAGGUAUUUCUUUUUCUUUUUUUAAAAAAAUUGAGAAGGAUUUUAGUGUGUACACUUUAAAGGUUUGAUUUUUGGCAUAUUACUGUACACCUAGAGGUGGAGCUAUGAUUUUGAGUUUAUCAGUUCUAGUUAUAAAAAUUGCAGCUUACUUGGUUUUUGAUAAGUUAUUUAUACGUAUUAAAUAAAUACACGGUUUUUAUCAGUUCUAGUUAUAAAAAUUGCAGCUUACUUGGUUUUCGAUAAGUUAUUUAUACGUAUUAAAUAAAUACAGGGUUUGAGCUAAAGCUAUUGGGUUAUGCUGAAACCGUAUACAAUGCUAGCUGCUAGUAUGCUAUGCUAUUGUUGUUGAGUUCUGUACUUCUGUGCUGAGUUCUGGUUUUAUAAGUUUGUUUAUUUUGCUUUCUGUUAUCCAAAAGUAAUGGCUAUGACCCGUAUAAUACUGAUAUUGAGCGCUUAGCUCAUCGUCCAAAGAGGGUUGCAGAAGAUCAGUGGCAUUCAUUAGUUCAUUAUUGGAGUUCAAAAAAAGCAAAGGAAAAGAGCGAGAGAAACAAAGAAAGUCGAAAAAAGUUGACUAUGCCACACACAUCAGGAAAAAAGUCUUACUCAAAUUAUAGAUGAUAUGACAAAAGAGAAUACUGGUGUAAAGCCAACUCGUAUUGAGGUGUGGAAAAAAACUCACACUAGAGAGUAUAAACAACCAGUAAAUGACAUAGCCGGUGAAGUUAUGAAACAAAUGGAUGAUCUUGCUGAAGUGUAUCCCGAGUUAAAUGUCCCUGGAAGUGCUUGCAAUGAUAUAUAUUCACAAGUAAUGGGACCAGACACUCAUGGGAUUGUUCGAAUUCUAGGAAAAGGAGCAUCUCCAAGUUUAGUUUAUGGCCCAGUAUAUAAACGAUCACAGUUGGAGCAACGAGAUUUUGAUGCAAGGGUUGAGAUAGAAGUUCAAAAAGCUACCGUAGCAAUCCAAAUUGAUAUGGAUAAAAAGUUGGCUGAAGCAAAACAAAAUAUGUAAGCAAAAAUGGAUGAAAGAAUGGAUGAAAAGGUGAAGGAAAAAGUGAAGGCUGAGAUGCAAGCAUACGUACAGAGUAUCGGUUUUAUGAAUGGCUCAAACAGUAAAUCAAUCAGUAAUGAAGAGCUUUCCCAUAACUCAGUUGAAGACCGCCAACAAUCAUUAUCUCCUGUAUCAGUUGUUCCAACAAAAAAGGUUAACUUAAUCAAGAACACCACAAAUAAUGGAGUUGACACACAAAAUAAGAAGUGGCACUUUUGAAGAGUGUGUGAUACCAAUUAUUGGCAAGUGAUGCUCGAAUUAUGGAAAGAUGAAUUCCAUUUGUCUUGUUGCAGAAUUUAUUCUAGAAAUUUAGGGAAUUAAAUAGAAAGUUUGGCGUAGUUUCAUGUUGAAAUCACUUUAGCUUUUAUGUUUUAGUUAGAAUUUGUUUUAUUUGAGAUAGAACAACAAGUCCUUUGAUUUGACAGCGUCUAACUUGCAAGGAGACCUUUCUCUGCUAUGUCCUUUGAAAUACAAUUGAUUGACUUUUACUAUUUCAUAAUAUUUUGUUACAUUG